GUCCCUUAUCAGAUAUAUGAUUUGCAAAUAUUUUCUCCCAGUGUGUGAGUUGUUUUUUUACUUCUUUUUGUUUUCACUCACAUUAUGUAUGUUGAUGUUAUAAUUUGAAGCACAAAAGUUUAAUUUUGGUAAAGUCUAAUUUCUUUUGUUGUACUACUGAUUGUUUUUAAAAAAUAAAUGCCCUGUACAUCAAGCUGUUUGCAGAGUGUACUCUGAAAUAGGUCAAAUUAAAAGAAGUCCUGAUUAUGGAGAUUUUCAGUGAGCUGUUAGGUGAACUAGUGAUAAUUCUCUGAGAGUGGGCCUUUUUGGGCUUCAAAUCUGUUGUUUUCUCUCCAGUGGCUGCUAAGCUCUGGUUUCCACGACGACUAUAAAUGUGAAGCUGUUGAGUUUCAAGGCUGCCAUGGAGCUGGGGAGAGGUGUAUAGGAUCAGAGCAAGUUAAAACACCAUAGGCUUUCUGUUCUUACUGAGAUUCAGCUGUUUUUCUUAGGCUGAAAACACAGAUACAAUUCUGGUGAAUGUGCUUUCCUCAUGAGGACAGACAGCUCACUGCGGGUUGGGAGGAUAAACGAUAAAAGAACCUGGGCCCGUAAACAACCCCAUGGGGCAGAACUAGUCCGCAAUACUUGGCUGUUCACUUCUGGACUGAAUGUAUACAAAAAGGUUUCUACCUUACAUUCCAGGGCCUCUUGGAUACGGAAGUUUGGCCUAUACUCUAACACAACAUCCAAGCAAGAAAGGUGAAAUCACUUACAGGCCUUCCUUUCUCAUACUCCUUACAGCUCCCUCGUCUCCAAACAUACAAUUAUAGGUCCAGAUAAGUGUAACUGACUUAUCUGUUCCUUCCUCAUCAAUUCCAUAACUACUCCCCAUUGAGAACCACAUUAUGUAACUGUCUGGACUACAACAACACAUCCCUUUAAAUGUUCUUCUUGCUGCCACAAUCUUGCACUGUCAGUACAUCCAGAAGGGUCUCAAUAAAACAAAUCCAAUUUUGUCAAAUCCCUAUUUUUAAAUUCUCAAUGAAUUCACAUUGUAUGCAAAAAAAAAAAAAGUCCAAACUCCUUGACGGCAUAUAAGACCUUCAAGAGCUGAUGCCUACCGACUUUUCCAGCUUGUUCUUAUGCCAAGCUUCCCCUUCCAUCCUAGGAUCGAUCAGGUUACAUCAAAAUACAUGCUGUACUCUGAACAUUCCCACCUUUGCAACUCUGCUGUCUCUGUAGAAUCUGCCACAAUAGGAACUAUAACCUUUAUUGAGGUUAUUUGCUUACCUAUUGGUCUUCCUCAACAUUUCCCAACUUUAUCUCUUACAAGUGAUCAGAGUCCUAGAACUCACAGGGAAUUUUCUGCCAGAGAAUACAUAAAAUAUUGCCACUUUCCAUGGGUUUUUAAAAAAAUUAUUACUAUUUAAAUUACUAAUACACAGAGAGAAGCAUACCAGUGGGUUCUCUAAGUUGGUACACUGAAGGUCUUGGGACUUCUGGCAGUGAUUUUAACUGUCAGGUGAUAAAAAUCUAGCCUGACAGAUGACGUAGUAGACAUUGCUGUUUGUAUCCCGAUGUUCUUUCUCAGCGUUCUUCAAGAAGGAACCACUGAAUUUUAACUGGAUACAUGUUGACAGAAUAAACACUACCUUUUCCUUGCAGCUAGGUGUGGCCAUGUAGUUAAGAGCUAGCCAGUGUCAUGUGACCAGAAGUGAUAUGUACAAUUUCCCUUAUAGGACAGGGUCAUGCCCUUCCAACACUGCCAUCCUGAUGGCUGGAAUAUGGACAUGAGGGGGUGAACCAUCUUGGACCAUGUGAAACAGGGUAACACCCCAAGGGCAGUACAACAGGAAGAUAACAAGCCUGGGUCUCAGAUAACUUUGUAGAUCAGGACCUACAUAAAAGAUUGGACUUUUAUAUGAGAAAUCCAUUUAAAGAUAUAUAAGGUCUCUCUUGCAUACAACCAAUUUAUGUGCUAACUAAUGUAUUAAGUGAGAGAAAACCUCAUCCUAUGACAUAUUCUCUCUACUAAUAAAGCCUUGAAGACAUUGA